CAAAAAGCCCAUCAUCUUGAGAGAGCCACUGAAGGUUAUUAGACAAGCAAGGAGGCCCUCCAUCAUCUGAUCCAUUCAGGUCACAGCCCAAUCAGGAGGCGUCACAGGUCAUGGAGGGAGAUGGCAAGAGAUCAACAGGAGCCCUGCCAAGGACUGCAGGGUUUGGCGAGAGGUUCGGAAUCUUCCAAGGCAAACAGAAAACCACUUGGAACAGUGCCUAAAAAGCAUGGGACAAGCAAAAGAACAAA